UGGGGAAUAUUGCACAAUGGGCGCAAGCCUGAUGCAGCCAUGCCGCGUGUGUGAAGAAGGCCUUCGGGUUGUAAAGCACUUUCAGCGAGGAGGGAAGGUGGUGAGCUUAAUACGCUCAUCAAUUGACGUUACUCGCAGAAGAAGCACCGGCUAACUCCGUGCCAGCAGCCGCGGUAAUACGGAGGGUGCAAGCGUUAAUCGGAAUUACUGGGCGUAAAGCGCACGCAGGCGGUUUGUUAAGUCAGAUGUGAAAUCCCCGGGCUCAACCUGGGAACUGCAUUUGAAACUGGCAAGCUAGAGUCUCGUAGAGGGGGGUAGAAUUCCAGGUGUAGCGGUGAAAUGCGUAGAGAUCUGGAGGAAUACCGGUGGCGAAGGCGGCCCCCUGGACGAAGACUGACGCUCAGGUGCGAAAGCGUGGGGCAGCAAACAGGAUUAGAUACCCUGGUAGUCCACGCUGUAAACGAUGUCGAUUUUGGAGGUUGUGCCCUUGAGGCGUGGCUUCCGGAGCUAACGCGUUAAAGUCGACCGCC
rnacentral:rRNA from 1 species